AUUGAACGCUGGCGGCAUGCUUUACACAUGCAAGUCGAACGGUAACAGGCCGCAGGGUGCUGACGAGUGGCGAACGGGUGAGUAAUGCAUCGGAACGUGCCCAGUCGUGGGGGAUAACGCAGCGAAAGCUGCGCUAAUACCGCAUACGAUCUAUGGAUGAAAGCGGGGGACCGUAAGGCCUCGCGCGAUUGGAGCGGCCGAUGUCAGAUUAGGUAGUUGGUGGGGUAAAGGCUCACCAAGCCGACGAUCUGUAGCUGGUCUGAGAGGACGACCAGCCACACUGGGACUGAGACACGGCCCAGACUCCUACGGGAGGCAGCAGUGGGGAAUUUUGGACAAUGGGCGCAAGCCUGAUCCAGCAAUGCCGCCUGCAGGAAGAAGGCCUUCGGGUUGUAAACUGCUUUUGUACGGAACGAAAAGGCUCUGGUUAAUACCUGGGGCUCAUGACGGUACCGUAAGAAUAAGCACCGGCUAACUACGUGCCAGCAGCCGCGGUAAUAC
rnacentral:rRNA from 1 species